ensembl:snRNA
GUGUUAUAUGAAAGGAAAGGUUAGCACUCCCCUUGAUAAAGACAGAAGAGACUCUAGAGCCUGACAACAUGCAUAUGGUUAAGGCACCGCCAUCUACCUCACUGCAUCUAACCAUCAUGUUUU